AUUGAACGCUGGCGGCAGGCCUAACACAUGCAAGUCGAGCGGGGCGGCGGACGGGUGGGUGAUGCCUAGGAAUCUGCCUGGUAGUGGGGGAUAAAGUCCGGAAACGGGCGCUAAUACCACAUACUAUCAGAUGAGCCUAGGUCGGAUUAGCUAGUGGGUGGGGUAGAGGCCUACCAAGGCGACGAUCCGUAACUGGUCUGAGAGGAUGAUCAGUCACACUGGAACUGAGACACGGUCCAGACUCCUACGGGAGGCAGCAGUGGGGAAUAUUGGACAAUGGGCGAAAGCCUGAUCCAGCCAUGCCGCGUGUGUGAAGAAGGUCUUCGGAUUGUAAAGCACUUUAAGUGGGGAGGCGUUACCCACAGAAUAAGCACCGGCUAACUCCGUGCCAGCAGCCGCGGUAAUAC
rnacentral:rRNA from 1 species